ACGGAUUCCGUGACGCAGCUAACGCAUUAAGUUCCCCGCCUGGGGAGUACGCCGCAAGGCUAAAACUCAAAGGAAUUGACGGGGACCCGCACAAGCGGCGGAGCAUGCGGAUUAAUUCGAUGCAACGCGAAGAACCUUACCAAGGCUUGACAUACACCAGACACCGUAGAAAUACGGGACUCUUUGGACACUGGUGAACAGGUGGUGCAUGGUUGUCGUCAGCUCGUGUCGUGAGAUGUUGGGUUAAGUCCCGCAACGAGCGCAACCCUCGUUCUGUGUUGCCAGCACGUUAUGGUGGGAACUCAUGGGAUACUGCCGGGGUCAACUCGGAGGAAGGUGGGGAUGACGUCAAAUCAUCAUCCCCUUAUGUCUUGGGCUUCACGCAUCUACAAUGGCCGGUACAAAGGGCUGCAAUACCUGAGGUGGACGAAUCCCAAAAACCGUCCCAAUCGGAUUGAGGUUUUGACUGACACUGAGAGUUGAUCCCUCCCCAUGACGAG
rnacentral:rRNA from 1 species